rnacentral:lncRNA from 1 species
GAGAGUUUAAUGUUUUUAUGCAGUUUAGCUCAGGUAGAAUAAAGUGCAAGAAAACAUUGAACCUUUUCUGUGGGUCAGGAAGCCAUUGUACUAAAGAUCAUGAACCCUUUCAUCUUCCCCUCACAAAAUAAUAAACAAGGGACUGCAACUUUGAGGGAAAUCUAGAAAGGUAGGAGACUGGACUUUGGAGAUGUCAGAUUAGGACUGGUGAAAAGCAGAUAUUCUAGGCUCCUAAAAUAACGUGGGAACAAGCCCAGAACAACCUUGGACAUGGUGUGUUUGUGCAUGGGAUGCUUUUCUUUUGAGACGGAAG